rnacentral:rRNA from 1 species
UACGGGGGGAGCAAGCGUUGUUCGGAUUUACUGGGCGUAAAGGGCGCGUAGGCGGUCAGCACAAGUCAGUUGUGAAAUCUCCGGGCUUAACUCGGAAAGGUCAACUGAUACUGUGCGACUAGAGUGCAGAAGGGGCAACUGGAAUUCUCGGUGUAGCGGUGAAAUGCGUAGAUAUCGAGAGGAACACCUGCGGCGAAGGCGGGUUGCUGGGCUGACACUGACGCUGAUGCGCGAAAGCCAGGGGAGCGAACAGG